GAAGAGGAAGCAACUGGAUGUUUGGUCAACCAGCAAAGCAGCUGGUGGCGUCAAAGCGAUAUACCAGUGGAAAUUCAAAACCUACAUGUCAUCAAGAAACAUCAGAUGUUUGUUGGAAUCCUCAAAAGUUCUAAACUCUUCGUACAAAAACAGGAACAACGUGAACUACUUGACAA